rnacentral:SRP_RNA from 1 species
GCCAGGCAUAGUGGCGUGUGGCUGUAGUCCCAGCUACUCAGGAGGCUGAGGUGGGAGGAUUGUUUGAGCCCAGGAAUUUGAGGCUGCAGUGAGCUAUGAUUAAGCCCCUGCACUCCAGCCUGGGCAACAGAUCAAGACCCCAUCUCUA